rnacentral:snRNA from 1 species
AAAUUCUCUUUAUGUGGCGAGCUCCCAGGGCGAGGCGCGAGCAUUGCACUGCGCUCGUGUUGAACUCUGCCACUACCCCAAACAGGGGCAGAUGGGGCAUGCAAUUUUUGGUAGUGGGGGGACUGCGUGCGCGCUUUCCCCCC